rnacentral:lncRNA from 1 species
CUAAUAAGCCUGAAUGGCCUCACCUGAGAUCCCUAUCAGUUGCCCACAGGCAAGUAAUUCAGAAUGCAGCUUUACAAGGAGGAGAGAUCCCUUCCCUGUAUGGCCUGGAAAGGUACAGUGGCUGAUCUGAAAGUAAUGCCUCCUGUUUUAUCACAUCGGACCAUGAUGUCAGAAGCAGAUGUUGGUGGCAUAGCAGUAGAGGUUGAACCUUCCUGCCAAUAUCCAGUUACACGUUGUUGCAGUGUGACAGGUGGCAGCAGAGGGGCAGUUUGACAAAGUAGCAUCUGACAUGGAAGCACAUAUGAAGCAAAGGUGUGUCACUGAAUUCCUCUAUAUAUAAAAAAUAGCACCCAUUGACAUUCAUUGAUUCUUGCUGAAUACUUAUGGAGAUCAAACAGUGGAUGUGAGCACAGUGAAGCAGUGGGUGGUGCGUUUCAGCAGUGGUGACAGCAAUGGGAAAGACAAACCACGUUCUGGACAGCCAUGCACAGCUGUCAUGGUGAAAUGAAGAGCAUCUCCGUCAGCUCAUCUGCAUGAAUCAAUAGAUUACAACUGGGGAACUGUGUACAGAGCUGAAUGUCAGCUUCAGUGCAUUGGAAAUGAUAGUAGAAACAUUGGAAUAACUCAAAGAUUGCGCCAAGUGGAUCCCACAAAUGCUCACACAGGAACAAAAUAACACCAUCUGUAAGUUUGUCAGGACCUACAAAAUCAAUACAAGGCUGAAGGCGACAGUUUCCUGGAUCACAUCAUUACUGGUGAUGAGAUGUGGUGUCACCAACACAAGCCAGAGUCAAAAUGACAGUCCCUAGAGUGAGGAUGUGAAUUCCCUUUCAAAGAAAAAGUUGAAGACAGCCCUCAGCAGGUAAAGUGAUGCACACUGUCUUUGAGAUAGGAAAGGCGUGAUCCUUCUGGAUUUCCUGGAACCUGGAUUAUCAUCAGCUCUGACUGCUACACUGCAACUCUACCUAAGCUGGAAACGUGAACUUCCAGGGUCAGGCCUGAGAACAAGACAACCUUUCCCUUGUAAGAUGAUGAUGCCAGGUCCCAUAGCAGUUUGAAGACUGUGGAGCACAUUGCCAGUCUUGGCUGGAUUAUCCUGCCACACCCAACAUGUAGUCUAGAUCUGGCACCUUCUGACUUCCAUAUGCUCAUGUCAAUGAAAGAUUGGCUAUGUGGGUGACAUUUUCCUAGCAACAACGCUGUCGUAGCUGGUGUGAAAUAGUGGGUCACCUCUGCUGGUGUGUAUUUUUAUGAGCACAGCAUGCAGGCUCUU